AAAAUAAUAAUAAUAAUAAAGAAGGCAACUUUAACAGUUUGCUUCUUCAUGGGAACUAGACUGAAAUUCAAACUGCAUGUAGUAUUACCUCUUCUAUACCCACAGUUUUUCAUGGACAUGAGAAAUCUUGGACCGUUCUUCUUCUUUUGAGAAACUUUGCGUUAGCAAAGGACAGCCAUAGAUACGCAAAGUUUUAACUGAGUCGCCAAGCUUCUCUUUUGGCCAGCCUUGGAGUGAAGGGCAUUGUCCAAUGGUCAAUUUCUGAAGGAACCUUAGGUGUUGAAGCCCUAUAGAUUUCAGCUUCCCAAAAUUACAGAGUACAAGAGACGUGAGAGUGGAGGGUAGCAGUGUCUCUUCUGGUAAUAAUUCCACAUGGUGAUACCCAACAAUUGUAAGAUGUGACAAAGCUGGCAGUUGUCGCAAAUCAUAUCGCAUAAGUCCUGCAACUAGUUUGUCGCAGUACAAAAUUUCAAGCAUUUGUAAUUUGGAAGGCAGACCCCUUGUCAGAAAUGAGUUCAGCUCUGGACAUCCAUAGAUUGUCAAGCACACAAGGGAAGGGAGGAGGGUUUGCAUACAUUCUGGAGAGGAUUGUAGCUUAGGGCAGUUGCCAAUAGUCAACUGUGUGAGGUGUACGAGAUCCUUGUAGUUCAGACAUUUCAGAUACUGAUGAUCCAGCAAUCUGAGGAAGGUUAGAGUAGAAGGCAGCAGCGUCUCUUCUGGU
rnacentral:misc_RNA from 1 species